rnacentral:rRNA from 1 species
UACGAAGGGGGCUAGCGUUGCUCGGAAUCACUGGGCGUAAAGGGUGCGUAGGCGGGUCUUUUAAGUCAGGGGUGAAAUCCUGGAGCUCAACUCCAGAACUGCCUUUGAUACUGAAGAUCUUGAGUUCGGGAGAGGUGAGUGGAACUGCGAGUGUAGAGGUGAAAUUUCGUAGAUAUUCGCAAGAACACCAGUGGCGAAGGCGGCUCACUGGCCCGGUACUGACGCUGAGGUGCGAAAGCGUGGGGAGCAAACAGG